GAUUCUGCCCUACGGGGAAGGAUGAGAAGCUUCGACUAAGGUUCGACUCGAGCGCCAGCGAGAGA
rnacentral:sRNA from 1 species